GACGGACCAUCCAAACGUUAUUCGGAAUUACUGGGCGUAAAGCGUGCGCAGGCGGCUCCUUAAGUCAGAUGUGAAAUCCCCGGGCUUAACCUGGGAACUGCGUUUGAAACUGGGGGGCUUGAGUGUGGCAGAGGGGGGUGGAAUUCCAGGUGUAGCAGUGAAAUGCGUAGAUAUCUGGAGGAACACCAAUGGCGAAGGCAGCCCCCUGGGCUAACACUGACGCUCAUGCACGAAAGCGUGGGGAGCAAACAGG
rnacentral:rRNA from 1 species